rnacentral:rRNA from 1 species
GUAGGUGGCAAGCGUUGUCCGGAAUUAUUGGGCGUAAAGCGCGCGCAGGCGGUUCUUUAAGUCUGAUGUGAAAGCCCACGGGCUCAACCGUGGAGGGUCAUUGGAAACUGGAGAACUUGAGUACGGAAGAGGAAAGCGGAAUUCCACGUGUAGCGGUGAAAUGCGUAGAGAUGUGGAGGAACACCAGUGGCGAAGGCGGCUUUCUGGUCUGUAACUGACGCUGAGGCGCGAAAGCGUGGGGAGCAAACAGGAUUAGAUACCCUGGUAGUCCACGCCGUAAACGAUGAGUGCUAAGUGUUAGGGGGGUUUCCGCCCCUUAGUGCUGCAGCUAACGCAUUAAGCACUCCGCCUGGGGAGUACGGCCGCAAAGGCUG